GUCCUUGUAGCUUAAUAAUUAAAGCAUGGCACUGAAGAUGCCAAGAUGACCGCCUGCUAUACGUCCAAGGACA
rnacentral:tRNA from 1 species